CCAAACAUGUCGGUUUGAUCCUUCCUUUAUUA
rnacentral:tRNA from 1 species